UACCGGUACUAAUGACCCGUGAGGCUUAACCUUACAACGCCAGAGGCGUUUUGGGUUGAGAGACAAAAGAAUUUUCAGCCUUGUUUACCGGAUAACGCCGUGCGGCCCGAGAGGGCGGUGCGGCAGACAGAAUCUGCCUGGCGGCUGUAGCGCGGUGGUCCCACCUGACCCCAUGCCGAACUCAGAAGUGAAACGCCGUAGCGCCGAUGGUAGUGUGGGGUCUCCCCAUGCGAGAGUAGGGAACUGCCAGGC
rnacentral:rRNA from 1 species